UUUUUAUGGGCAAAAGGGUACUUUUACUAUUCUUAGGAACAGUAAAAGUGUGCCCAGAUUUAGUUAUAUAUAAUUAUGUAAAAGCCUGAAGGUAACUUACAGAGUUCAAACAAAUGAUUAAAAGAAGAAGAGAAGAAGAGAAGAAUACUAAAAGAAAUCCUGGCUUACAUAGAAGAAUACUAAAAGCAAUCCUGGCUUACAUCAACUAUUCUCAAAUUUUUAUUGAUAUCUUCCUGUAGGAACCACCAUGGGCCAUCUUUGGAUGAUAAUCUCAUAUAUCCAGCCACUGUCCUCAUGCCCAUGAAAAGAGUUAAUCCAGACCAAACUCCAGAAAGACCAACAAUGGAGGGUGCAUAGAGCAUAAAUGCACAAGAAAGUGCCCCAACCACCAUCAUAGAACAAGCAGCAUAUGAAAAGUCUGAUAUACCAUAAUGGAGACCAUCAUAAAUAAAAGCCAGGGCAUUGAUUGGUUGACUGCCACUAACAAACAGUAACCCAGUUCUAACAAUUGCAAGUACCUCAACAUCCUUGGUGAACAAAGUUGCUAAAGAACCAAAUGAUACACCCAAUAUGAUAGCUAAGGAAAUGCCAGUAAUUAAUCCUGUCUUUAACGAACAUAAAGUAAUUUCUUUCGCUCUACUGUAGUCACCUUUUGCUGCAGAACUUGCAAUAAGUGCCUGACUAGAUGCAGCUUGAGCAUCUACAAGGAGUGAAACAGAUAACCACACUUGCAACCAUAUUUGAUGAGCCGCCAUGGCUAAUGCUCCAUGAUGAGCAGCCAUAGAUGUACUCAAGGUUAUGGUCAGGACAGCAGCUAGAGUUCUCCCAAGAAGAAAACCACCAGAUCUUAGAUAGCCGCCGAAAUGCAAACCUUUUACACUCAGAAAUGACAAUAUCAUCCUCUUGUUGAGAUGCCAAAUCAUCAGAAAGGAAAUAAUAUAUUGAGAUAGAACAGUAGAAAUGGCAGCACCAGUUAUGCCCAGGUGAAAAUAAUACAUUAGCACAGGAAAUAAGAACACAGCUGAUAAAUUGCCCAGUCCAAGACAUAAGACAGGAGUCUUUGUAUCCUUAAACCCUCGGAAUAUGCCCUGGAUGGCCAGAUAGAGGACAACUGCAGGAGCACCAAUUGCUCUAAGUUUGAGAAAUCUUUCUGCUGGAAUGCGCAUGGGUGAAGCAGAUGAUAUGCCCAUCAUGUUAAGAAAUAUUCCAGAUCCCAGAAACAUUGCCAGAGCUUCAAGUAAUCCAAUUCCGAUUGCUAAAAGUAAAGCUGUAGAGACUGAAGGUAACGACUUCCUUUUAGACAUUUUAUUAUUGGAAUGGCCACCAUCUGAAUCAGAUUCACUAUCAUUCCUUGAAAUAUCUUCAGCCACAAAUGAAGUUGCAACACUGAGGAGGGGUAUAUUGAAAACUUUUGAAAUGAUAUUGAAUAUUGACAUGGAAAGACCUGCUGAUGCCAACUCCAGAGGCCCUUUUCGAAAAGGUAUAAGAGCUUAUUAAGCUUGCUGUUGUCCAAUGUAAUGUUUAGUAUCUAAAUGAAAAUGGCCAACAAAAGCCCCAAGAACAUAGUUAUUUCUUCACACACACACCCCAGUUCCCCUUUUUCAGAAAAGAUAAAAGUAGCUUUCCUGCAACCAGUCAGCAGAAUUCCCAUAGGGACAACAAGGUAUCUGUCUUUGGGAAUUAUAAUUUCCCAGGAACUGAUCUUGGAAAAACCAAGUGAUAAUAAUUUAAUUAACAUAAUUUCAUUUUGAUGGUAACUUGUAAACAGCAUCACUGGAGAUGAAUGAAUUUGACUUUUACAGUUUGCUAGAUCAUGCACAUUGGACAUGACACCCAACAAAAACCAGAAGUCCCUCAUAUGUAGAAGUAAGCAUAUUGUAUACUGCACCAAAAGAAAACCUACAAUAAAUUUGUCACGGAAUCACAUUUGAUUGAACUAAACAAUAAUAAGUUAGUAACAGUUAUACCAAACAGCUGAUGCUCCCAAUACAAAACAAACAUAUGCAAACCAACCUAGAUGUAGCCCACUACAACUAAAAUGCAUUAUGAUCUGUUAGCAGUGUGUAAAAAGAAAGAGAAUUUGAUUAUAAUACUUUCCAAGAGAAAAUAAAGUUAAAAAAGAUAAGCAUAAAACCAGCAUAACCUUACCCAGUCUACCGACAUAAGCUGUUUCCAUUAGCUGUGCUAGUGGCUCAAUCGCCUGCCCAGCAAUUGCCGGUAUGGAAAGCAUUAUAACCUCCAUUUGGACAUUUGGAGGCCUUGAUUGACUAGGUACUGGAGGCCCUCCUGAGUCACUUCCUUCCAAACUCGACAAACUCAAAUCGUAAUCUGAGGUUUGUUGUUCACUGAUUGACGCACAACACCUGAACUUGAAGGCAGUGUUGAAUCUCACACCCCUGUUAUUCUUCAUCACUAAACAAAGACCAUGAUGAAAUUUUGUUGCAUCUUCGAAUGCGAAAGCUUUGGCCCAUUUCUUGAGUUCUCUUCUCUCGCACUUUCUCCCAGAAACUCCCAAAAAGGUUGCGCCCUUCAAUUGAGUGACCUUCAUAUUUGCCAAUGAGUAGAUUGGCCUGUAGUUCCCUUUGUUUACUAAGCAAAAAGUAAAAAAUGGAAGGCAUAUGUCAAGUCCCACGUCGGCUGGGUAUCGAGCAAAAUGCUUCAUAUAUGACUUGGUAUUGCAUAAAAAUUCCCCCACUUUCCAUUAUUUUUAUCUCGUUUUCUCGGAAAACAAACAAAUGGUUAAGAAAUGCAAAGGAAAACCCCCAUUAACGGUCAUGAAAAGUCAAAACACAUUUUUAUCAGGUUACAUAAGAAACAAUAAACUAAAUGAAAGAACAAAAGAAAACAUGAAGUGGAAUAAGUUUUCCAAAUGAAAUAAACCCAAUUGUAAAAGCACCAUUCUCUUUUCUUUUACCCUAUCAGAAACCAAAUACAGAAAUGAAACAAUGAGGAGCAAAAGCUGAGACAUACUCGAGGGGACAGAGUUGAAGGCCAAGCAAGCACAAUCCCAUUUGAGAAAGAAGCUAACAAACGGCCAUGAAAGCGGUUGGUGCCUUAUAAUGUUACUAAAAGGUGACUGAAUUACCUACCUCAGCUACAACAUGGUACAGAGGUGGAAAGUGGCUGACGGGUAGAAGAACAAGGAUUUGUGGGCGUUGUUAGCUAAUUGAGCACUCAUAGGUUCUGCCAUUAGAAUUGACUGCUA
rnacentral:misc_RNA from 1 species